AUGGUGCUGACUGUUCCAUCCUCCACCUAUAAGGAAUCCACUCUGCUACCCAAGGCAAUUCCAGAAAGCACACCGAAAAAGACUGUAUCAUGCUGUUUCACAGAAGAGGCGAUAGGAAAAUCAGCGGACCUGGGUGAAUUUGCUGAGAGUGGUGAUGAACUGAACCACAGGCUACCGAGACUGCUGUGAAGUGAUUGGGCCUCCCUGGGAAAUGAAGUUUAGAAUGCUCCUCAGCCCUGUAGUCACUUUGUACCCCAGUAACUUUCUUAUUAGACUGCUAUCAUGUUAGCUGCUUCAUGGCAGAUGAUCCUUAAGGGGCAUAUCCUCCACUUUGGACCAUAUGGCUGAGCAGUGCUUGCCCUUCUAGUCAGCUUGAUCCCAUCUGCCCAGACAGGUAUUUAUAACAUGACUGAUGUUGAUGCCCCUGCAGAACAUGUUGCAGGAAGUGUCCUCUUUAAUCCCUGGCCAUAAUUAGCCCUUUACUACUGGCAUAGAUUAGAGGAGUUCACCAGAGAAUUAUUAUAGGUUCCAACUGGAAAAACCACAUUACUAAUGAUUGUGGCAGAAGCAGAAUUGGAGCUCCUGAUAAUUACAAUUUCAUCAAACCAACUGAGACUCAGGACUGCAAUUAAAAAGAAACGAUCUUCCAUGUAUAAUGGCUUUCACACUGCAUGGUACUAUUAAAUAACCAUCAUUAGCUACUAAAGCAUGUACCACCCAUUUUCCAGAGCCUUUUCUCUGCCAAGAAAUUUAAGACCGAGAAUGAUCAAUGAAUGAAUCAUCAGCAUAAUAAUUGUUGAUAUAGGACAUGCAAAUUGGAAUCACUCCGAAUGAUUUAAAUGUAGAAGGAAUUAUUACAGAUGAUAAUAUUACCCAGGCAUUAAAGCUUUUCUUAUAAGAAGCUCACAGUUCAUGUCUUUGCGUCAAAAGGUAGUAGUAUCCAUGGGAUGCCUUGAAACAACAAAAUAAAGAGAUUUCAGGUGAUUUUCUAGGUAUUGUGUUGGGUUCUGGGGACAGAAAGAUAAAUAAAAUAUAGCUCCCAUUCUCAAUGGCUCACAGAUUUAUAAGGUGGGACAGACAAGUACACACCAAAAAUAUCACAAUACGUUGUGAUGAAUGCAAUAAUCAAAGCCUGCACCUGGUCCAGGAUAGCAUAGGGGAGUACAACUUGUAGGAGAAACUUAGAAUGAGGGAAGAUACUCUGCUUAAGAAUCCAAAGCUUCCUCGAUUAGGGCUUU
rnacentral:lncRNA from 1 species